CUCCAUCUCCUCUAGACCUCAUUUAAGGGCUGACCACCACUGAGGCAGCAUCUCUUGGAGAUUGCUCCUUGGUGGUGUUUGCCUCAGUGGUUCCUAGCAGAACAAAGGCUUCCAUGCAGCGAGGGCAUGUGACCAGCGGAGGGAUGUGACUUGACAUGAAAUUCCAUUUUCUCAAAGGAUAUCUACCAGAAGUUAGGAUUCACAUCACAAGGGACAAGUAAUGCAAAGUGGCAUCCAUCGAGACAAGGAUGCCUACUUGGGAAAGAGCAGAGGACGCUGCUGCUGAAAGUUAUUCAAAUUAUAGAUAGUAGAACUGUAUUAGGAAUACUUAACCACUUCUUCUUAUAAUCUGUAAGAAAAAUUUUCCAGUAGUCUCAGCCCUCCAAAGAGAGGAGUUUCAAGUGGAGUAAUGGCAAAAGAGAAAAUUGAGUAUGCAGAUAGAAAGAAAGAGAAAAAGAACAACAGUGAAGCCAUCAAAUUAUAAAGCAAUUUAACUGUACUCAGCUUGCUAGAUCUAUAUAUACACAACUGAUGUUGAAGUAAUUUGCUGAUUGUUUGUGGUUCUACUUAUGUAUAUGUGAGUGUCUAUACAGACAUAUGAUAUUCAUAUAUUACAUUGAAAGAAAAUUGAGUUUAAAAGCUUAUUCAUAGCAUAGAAGGGAUGAAUCCUGCUCCUUACAUGACUGUUUAAUAUUUUGUUUUAUCAAGUGGCCUUAUUGAUUGCAGUAUUCUAUGUAUCUUCCAGCUGCUACAAUUCAGAAAAAAGUCCUAAUAAAAACAUUUUCUUGGCUAUA